rnacentral:rRNA from 1 species
GCCCUUCACUACGGAAUAGCCUCUGGAAACGGAGAGUAAUACCGUAUGCGCCCUUCGGGGAAAGAUUUAUCGGUGAAGGAUUAGCCCGCGUCUGAUUAGAUAGUUGGUGGGGUAACGGCCUACCAAGUCGACGAUCAGUAGCUGGUUUGAGAGGAUGAUCAGCAACACUGGGACUGAGACACGGCCCAGACUCCUACGGGAGGCAGCAGUGGGGAAUCUUAGACAAUGGGCGCAAGUGAUCUAGCCAUGCCGCGUGAGUGACGAAGGCCUUAGGGUCGUAAAGCUCUUUCGCCAGGGAUGAUAAUGACAGUACCUGGUAAAGAAACCCCGGCUAACUCCGUGCCAGCAGCCGCGGUAAUACGGAGGGGGUUAGCGUUGUUCGGAAUUACUGGGCGUAAAGCGCGCGUAGGGGAUUGGAAAGUUGGGGGUGAAAUCCCGGGGCUCAACCCCGAACUGCCUCCAAAACUAUCAGUCUAGAGUUCGAGAGAGGUGAGUGGAAUUCCAAGUGUAGAGGUGAAAUUCGUAGAUAUUUGGAGGAACACCAGUGGCGAAGGGGCUCACUGGCUCGAUACUGACGCUGAGGUGCGAAAGUGUGGGGAGCAAACAGGAUUAGAUACCCUGGUAGUCCACACCGUAAACGAUGAAUGCCAGACGUCGGGGGGCUUGCCCUUCGGUGUCACACCUAACGGAUUAAGCAUUCCGCCUGGGGAGUA